AGCGUUAUUCGGAUUCACUGGGCGUAAAGGGUGCGCAGGCGGCCAAGUGUGUGAGGCGUGAAAGCCCGAUGCUUAACAUCGGAAUUGCACCUCAAACUACAUGGCUAGAGCAUUGGAGAGGGUAGCGGAAUUCACGGUGUAGCAGUGAAAUGCGUAGAUAUCGUGAGGAACACCAGAGGCGAAGGCGGCUACCUGGACAAUUGCUGACGCUCAGGCACGAAAGCGUGGGGAGCAAAAGGG
rnacentral:rRNA from 1 species